UGCAUUGAGUGCAGUUGGUGCAAAGAUGUGCGUCUGCUCUACACAGGAAAAAAAGAAAAAGAAAAAAAUUCCAUCUGUCUGUAUUUGAAAUCAGCUCGCCAGCCUGUAGUUGGUCGAACCCCACCCAGAUGGUGCUGCGCAAAUGUAUGUUAAAAGAUAUCUUAUAUUAGUGUUGUGGGUGUCCAAUUUUUUUUGAAUGCCAUUUAGCCAAUGUGCCCAACCUGCUGCACAGAGAAAUCGUGACAAAAUAAAGAUAUGCUGAAGAGUUUCUAUUUCAAGGGCCAGAUCCUGCAAACAGUUCUGGAUCCUACAUUUGUCAACUGGCGUUUGCUUUGCACAUGAAAACGCAUGUUGAAGUCUCUAAUGAGCUGCUGAUGGGACAAAAAUAUCUAAUUUAUAAAUCGGAAGUGAGGAACAAAGGAAUGAACUGAAGUAACUCAACUCUACCCUUUCCACAGCUGAGGACACAAAGUAAUAAUUGUCACUCAGCAAAAUUAUCGCACAAAAGAACAGCAAGUCAUUCAUUUCCACAUGAAAAAGCACAAAAAUAGGAUUUCUGAAAGACUGAUUGGAAGAUUAAAGAUCAGAAGGUUAGCAUUAAAGUUUGUGCCUAAAGCAGCAGCUGCACACCAGCAUUGUGGCUGAUAGAAUUGCUCACCUCCUCCUCGGCUUUAGUGCUGCUCUCGGGCCAGCUGCUAUGUGGUAUACAAGAGGGAUGCAGUUGGUAGAUCCCAAACUGAUGUAAGCAGUGAUCUGAAUGACCUGGGAGACAAGCCUUCAGGAGCAAACCAACACCUGCUUUGCUUAGGCAAUCAGCAGACCUGCCUACUUUGCCAACGUGAUCAAUUUCAGCUGUUUUGGAUUAAGAUCCACUUUAGUCUUGGAUGCAGGGGGUAAUGAAAUGUUAUUAUCCUUAUUGUCUGAACAAAGGGUAUCCUGGGACAUGGGAGACCUGAAUUCAGUUCCCUGCUUCACCAUAGCCGUCCUGUAACACCUUGGGCCAGUCACCUAGUAGUCCCUUUGUCACUAAAUUUCCCAUCCAUAGAAGGAUGAUAGAAGCACCAGCCUACUUUGCAAGGGUGCUUUUAGGAUAAAUACACUAAUGCUUGGAUGCUGUGGUAAUGCGGGUCAUACAAGCAUGCCAGAUAAGAGUACAGGUUCUCUUCUUAAAUGCAAGUAAACUGGUAACAUUUGCUAAGUUAUCAAAAGACUUAAUUUAAAGAGGGUGAGAAUAAAAUUGGUGGAUUUCCCUGCCUCUUCUGUUGA
rnacentral:lncRNA from 1 species